rnacentral:rRNA from 1 species
AUUGAACGCUGGCGGCAGGCUUAACACAUGCAAGUCGAGCGAGCGGCGGACGGGUGAGUAAUGUCUGGGAAUCUGCCUGAUGGAGGGGGAUAACUACUGGAAACGGUAGCUAAUACCGCAUACUAUCAGAUGUGCCCAGAUGGGAUUAGCUAGUAGGUGGGGUAAGGGCUCACCUAGGCGACGAUCCCUAGCUGGGCUGAGAGGAUGACCAGCCACACUGGAACUGAGACAGGGCCCAGACUCCUACGGGAGGCAGCAGUGGGGAAUAUUGCACAAUGGGCGAAAGCCGGAUGCAGCCAUGCCGCGUGUGUGAAGAAGGCCUUCGGGUUGUAAAGCACUUUCAGCGGGGAGGCGUUACUCGCAGAAGAAGCACCGGCUAACUCCGUGCCAGCAGCCGCGGUAAUUC